AGGGAAGGCUAAGGAUACAUCGGUUCUGGGGAGUUGAGAAUAUGCCUUCCCCCACUCCAGUCACCUCAUUUAAAAAAUAAAACAUCUUUUAUUUUAAAGUCUUACCCUGGAAGUUUGGUUGGCAAAGCACUCCCUGUUUCCUCAACUUGGGCCUUACAAGGAGUUUCUCUUUGUGGCUGAUGGCCAUGCCAGUUUCUCCUCUGGACCUGCAGCAGGUGUGUCCCCCUGCCUUACAGGGAUGCUCACAGAAUGCACCAGAACUCCGGAUAAACGCAGUUCCCGUGAGCAGCAGCAGUUACUGGGUAUCUCAGAGUGGGCUGUCUGGUUUUGAGUGCCUCUCUAGCACCUAAUAACUGGGUGAUCUUGGGCAAGUCACUUCAGAACUUUCAUAGAUUCUUGGACUCUUGCACACUGCCUGGACUGUCAAUUAAGCCAAAGCAAGUAUUUUCCUUGCCUGCUUUUAAGCUUAUUGCUUAGGUUUGGAGUGAAUCUGCGUUCUGAGCUUUGCAGCUCACAGCAGCUCCUCUUCAUGGCCUGGAGUGCACCCCAUUUGUGGGUGGUUUAUAUACUUAUCACUUUCUUUCUGGGAGCCGCUGAUGGAUGCCAUCCGGUCAAGAGGCUUUGCUCCUCUGUUCAAGACUUCCUAUGGGGUGGAACCUGGAUGUGCUGGUAACUCCAUUAAACCAAGCAGAUGAGCACCACCCAGGAGAAUAGAGGAGCAACCACAGAGGGAGAAUCUGCGCCUCUUCUUCACUGUGUGCUACUGGACAUAGUAGCCUGGAAUGUGCAACUCCAGAGUGUUGUAUAAAAGAAAGAAAUUCAAUUUUUUGAGCCACUGUAUUUUGGGAUCUGUUUAAUAGAAGAGUGGAGGUUCUUAUCCUGAAUAAUACAGAACAUUCCUGAAUUGGGAAGUAGAGCACUGGUUUCAAGUCAAUAUCAAGUCAGUAUUCCUUCAUUCUUUCCUACUUUUCUUCCUUUCACACA